rnacentral:rRNA from 1 species
UAACACGUGAGCAACCUGCCUUUCAGAGGGGGAUAGCGUUUGGAAACGAACGCUAAUACCGCAUAAAAUAUCCAGCAGGCAUCUGCAGGAUAUCAAAGGAGUAAUCCGCUGAAAGAUGGGCUCGCGACCGAUUAGCUAGAUGGUGAGGUAACGGCUCACCAUGGCGACGAUCGGUAGCCGGACUGAGAGGUUGACCGGCCACAUUGGGACUGAGACACGGCCCAGACUCCUACGGAAGGCAGCAG